CCGGCACGGGUGAGUAACACGUAUCCAACCUGCCGUCUACUCUUGGCCAGCCUUCUGAAAGGAAGAUUAAUCCAGGAUGGCAUCAUGAGUUCACAUGUCCGCAUGAUUAAAGGUAUUUUCCGGUAGACGAUGGGGACGCGUUCCAUUAGAUAGUAGGCGGGGUAACGGCCCACCUAGUCUACGAUGGAUAGGGGUUCUGAGAGGAAGGUCCCCCACAUUGGAACUGAGACACGGUCCAA
rnacentral:rRNA from 1 species